rnacentral:rRNA from 1 species
UCAAUGCUGCUCAAGGGCAGAUUGGCAGCUAGUCGGCCACCCAUUGUCAGACUGAAUGGAGUGAAUGUGAGGUAUGCGUCUGAGGUGAAAUACCUCGGCAUAACCUUCGGCGAGAGGAUGUGUUUCACUCCUCAUAUCGCUGGUCUCAAGGCCCGGCUACUUGGUUUGGUGGGGCAAGUGCGUCGUAUUUUGAGGUCUGACUGGGGCCUAAGCAGACGUGCUGUCCGCACCAUCUAUGAGGGUCUGUUUGCUGCAUGUGCAGCAUAUGGAUCGUCUGUAUGGUGCAAGGCGGUCACGACUGUGGUUGGCAGAAAGAAAGUGCUGGCUUGCCAGAGAGUGCUUCUGUUAGGUUGUUUGCCUGUGUGCCGCACUGUCUCUACGGAGGCAAUGCAGGUACUGUUAGGAGUAGCCCCUCUUGACUUGGAGAUCAGGCGUCGAGCCUUGAUGUACAGGAUCAAGAGGCGGCUGCCAUUGCUGCAGAAUGAUUGGCUAGCAGAUAGGGAUGUGGAGAGUUUAGGGCUUAGUGAAUGCAAGAGAUUGGUGAAAGAGUGUGUUCUGUCUGACUGGCAAGUCAGAUGGGACACAAGCGUGAAUGGGCGUGUCACUCAUCGGUUUAUACGGGAGGUUACAUUUGCCGGCAGCCGACCAGACUUUGGGUUCGGCCUGAGUCUUGGAUUCCUGUUGACUGGUCACGGUUCCCUCAAUGCAUUCUUGUAUUCGAGGAGCCUUUAUGACAGUCCAGAAUGCCGUUGUGGCUCGGCUGCUGAGACAUGGGAGCAUAUUCUCUGUGAGUACACAAGGUAUGCAGAUCUUCGAGAUCUGAGGGGGAUGGGUAUAAGUGAGGUUAGUGGCGGGUUUGACGUAAGUCAAUCACUCUCCACUAGUGAUAGGAUUAGAAGAAUGAGUGAGUUUGCGAGAGCUGCAUUUUCCAGGCGACGUUUGCAAUUGCAGGAAGGAAUUGUAUGAAUGAAGAUGGAUGGUAGAUGUACGAAUGUGGGGGUACGAACGUGGGGGUGUGUCUGAAUGGGCAUUUUGUUGAACAUUGUGUUGUCCGGGGCUACCAGUUCCCAGCAUCAUGGAGCUAAAACUGAAAGUGUCCUUUCAGGAUACGAGUUCUGACCAGAGGAUUGAUCUGGGACCACGGGCGUUAGGGAACACAGAGGCGGUCUCGGCUCUGCUCUCUCCGCCAUAGUCUUUUGGGACUUGUUGGGGACACUAGCUGGCCGCCUAGCGGUUUAAUCUAUGAUCAACUUGAAAAUGCCGUCGCUUGCGGAAGAGGCAGGAAUAAGCCUCCCUCCCCACAGUGAGAAAGCCAUGCCAUGAACAUGUAUACAUAUAUAUUGUUCCACCUGUCAAUUGCUGCUUUACAUCAAUUGCGUUCUAUUCCCUGCAGCAGUGUUUUAUCGUUUCUGGGGCCACCAACCCUUAACUGUUUUGGAGUUUAAAUUGGAAGUACCCUUCUGGUACGAGGCCUGACCAGAGGUCUUUAAUCUGGUACCACGGGUAACCAGGAGCCCACGGAACUUGUUCCGUCCUGGUUAGUUGGUGCGGCCCUUCGGGGAGUAUCGUGGUGGUUGUGGUUUAACACCUAAAUGCGGGUAGAGCUUUGCUCGACGUGGAGUUGCGUCAUACAACCGGGUUCCGUAAUCCAGAUUUCGGAAGAGGCUUAGAUAGUCCUCGUGCCAAACCAAGGUAGAAGUCACAACCAAACAGUCGUGUCUUUAAUUGGUACCUGCGGAAUUGUUCCAAGGAGGCGGUGAUUGACGCUUGAAUUAAUCCUAUACUAGGAACCGUGAGAUUAAGCCAUCGUGGCAGGUGCUCACAUUAAGCCCACUGACUUUCAUGUCCCUAUCUACUAUCUAGCGAAACCACAGCCAAGGGAACGGGCUUGGAACAAUUAGCGGGGAAAGAAGACCCUUUUGAGCUUGACUCUAAUCUGGCAGUGUAAGGAGACAUAAGAGGUGUAGAAUAAGUGGGAGAUAUUAGACUUCGGUUUGGUAUCGACAAUGAAAUACCACUACUCUUAUUGUUUCCUUACUUACUUGAUUAAAUGGAACGUGUAUAAUUUCCUAGCCAUUAUACGGAUAUAAUUAUUAUGUCUUAUGGUAUUGGGUUUUGAUGCAAGCUUCUUGAUCAAAGUAUCACGAGUUUGUUAUAUAAUCGCAAACAAAUUCUUUAAUGAGAGAAUGCAUUUAUGUAUUAUUGAUUUAAAAAUUUGGUAUAACUCCAAUUACUCAGGUAUGAUUCAAUUCAAGGACAUUGCCAGGUAGGGAGUUCGACUGGGGCGGUACAUCUCUCAAAUAAUAACGGAGGUGUCCCAAGGCCAGCUCAGUGCGGACAGAAACCACACAUAGAGCAAAAGGGCAAAUGCUGACUUGAUCUCGGUGUUCAGUACACACAGGGACAGCAAAAGCUCGGCAUAUCGAUCCUUUUGGUUUAAAUAGUUUUUAACAAGAGGUGUCAGUAAAGUUACCAUAGGGAUAACUGGCUUGUGGCGGCCAAGCGUUCAUAGCGACGUCGCUUUUUGAUCCUUCGAUGUCGGCUCUUCCUAUCAUUGUGAAGCAAAAUUCACCAAGCGUUGGAUUGUUCACCCAUGCAAGGGAACGUGAGCUGGGUUUAGACCGUCGUGAGACAGGUUAGUUUUACCCUACUAAUGACAAAACGUUGUUGCGACAGCAUUCCUGCGUAGUACGAGAGCAACCGCAGGUACGGACCAAUGGCACAAUACUUGUUCGAGCGAACAGUGGUAUGACGCUACGUCCGUUGGAUUAUGUCUGAACGCCUCUAAGGGCGUAUCCGUGCUGGACCGCAAUGAUAAAUAAGGGGCAAUUUUGCAUUGUAUGGCUUCUAAACCAUUAAAAGUUUUUAAUUUAUUUUAUUAACGACAAUGGAUGUGAUGCCAAUGUUAUUUAUAACAUAGUAAAUUGGGAGGAUCUUCGAUCACCUGAGCCCGCGCUAGUUAUAUCUUAAAACAUUAUUU